rnacentral:rRNA from 1 species
GAUGAACGCUGGCGGCGUGCCUAAUACAUGCAAGUCGAGCGAACAGACGAGGAGCUUGCUCCCCUGACGUUAGCGGCGGACGGGUGAGUAACACGUGGAUAACCUACCUAUAAGACUGGGAUAACUUCGGGAAACCGGAGCCAAUACCGGAUAAUAUAUUGAACCGCAUGGUUCAAUAGUGAAAGACGGUUUUGCUGUCACUUAUAGAUGGAUCCGCGCCGCAUUAGCUAGUUGGUAAGGUAACGGCUUACCAAGGCAACGAUGCGUAGCCGACCUGAGAGGGUGAUCGGCCACACUGGAACUGAGACACGGUCCAGACUCCUACGGGAGGCAGCAGUAGGGAAUCUUCCGCAAUGGGCGAAAGCCUGACGGAGCAACGCCGCGUGAGUGAUGAAGGUCUUCGGAUCGUAAAACUCUGUUAUUAGGGAAGAACAAAUGUGUAAGUAACUAUGCACGUCUUGACGGUACCUAAUCAGAAAGCCACGGCUAACUACGUG